CCCAUGUCCUUGCAGAGUCUGUUUGUGGCCAUGGGUUUUCCCUCCAACUCCGUCUGCCUGGGAGAAGAGGAGGCCGGGGGGGGGGGGGGGGGGGGUGUCUGAAUCAGCAAGGCAGGCUUUACCUGGUAGCGAAAAAGCAUAGGUUCUUAGUGAAAUGAGGGAGUAGAGCUAUAUGGAUCCAGCUUUUGUGUGCCAGAGUCAGGGUGCAGCCCUGCUGCUCUUGCUGCUAGGAAUCGUUCAGUGUGAACCAGCAGAAACACAUCAUGGAAGAGGCCAGGUCAGUGAACACUGUUUCCCAGAUGCUGGCCAUUGUGAAAGUGGCCAUUGAGUUCCUGGCUGUGAAUGGCAGUGACGUGAAGGGCCUGCCAUCUGAGUAUGUCAGGCGGGAGCUGAAAAUGGAUACUGGUGCAAAGCAGUUCCGAGAUGUGUUGGUGGUGCCCAGCCCCCAGCUGAAGCAUGUCCUGUCACUGUGGCAGGUUGUGGCGGCUCGCAGGCAUGUUGGUACAGAUGAACCAGGUUCAAGGAGAACUUUGUGUUGUUUCUGGAAGCCAGCCCAGUCAAUGCUGUCUCCAUUGCUAGCCUGAUGGAUGCACUGAGCCCUGAUCUUCUCCUUGAGGACAUCCUUUCUGGAGGAGGGCUGCGAAGACCUGCCAGCUGGACAUCUCUGCCUGUGGCCAGCAGAGACCAGUUGUCAUUAGCACCCCCUCAUAAUGACCCCACUGGUGGCUUCUCCCCACAGGGCGUGGAGGAAGGGGCCUUGAGACACACUCUCCUCCUUAAUCUUGGCUCUGGGGCCAAUAAAUGAUCUGUGCAUGGGCUCUUGGAGCA
rnacentral:lncRNA from 1 species